rnacentral:lncRNA from 1 species
GAGCUAUUUCCCUCCCAUUUGUUCUCCUGUAUCACCUCACUGUGUGCUAAUGUAUGUCAUGCACACUUGUUUUCUUUCUCUCGCUCUCUCUCUCUUUCUCACUCGCUCUACCUCUCUCCACCUCUCUCUCGCUCUCUCUCUCUAUCUCUCUCUCUGUCUCCCUCUCUGUUUCUCACUAUCUCUCCCUCUCUUUCUCUCUCUCUCUCUCUCUCCACCUCACUCCACCUCUCUCUCGCUCUCUCUCUCUAUCUCUCUAUUUCUCUCUCUCUCUGCUCAGGAGUCACAACACAUACCCUCAGGAUGCGCUGGACUAAAGCGGUGCAAUGUUCCCGUUAACAAGCCUGCAACCAAGUCUGUGCCACAGAAGUCAAUGCUUGAGGAUGACCUGAAGAUCAGCAGUGACGAGGAAGAUACUGAACAGCAGGUAAGAUCCAUCAACAACCAUAUAAUUACAGUACACUGUAUCUGUGGUCUCGUUCUGAGUAUCUCUGUCUGUAGUCUCGUUUUGAGUAUCUCUGUCUGUGGUCUCGUUUUGAGUAUCUCUGUCUGUGGUCUCGUUCUGAGUAUCUCUGUCUCUGGUCUCGUUCUGAGUAUCUCUGUCUGUGGUCUCGUUUUGAGUAUCUCUGUCUGUGGUCUCGUUCUGAGUAUCUCUGUCUCUGGUCUCGUUCUGAGUAUCUUGUCUGUGGUCUCGUUCUGAGUAUCUCUGUCUGUGGUGUGUGGUGUCAUUCUGAUUAUCUAUGUCUGUGGUGUGUGGUGUCAUUCUGAGUAUCUCUGUGUGUGGUGUCUUUCUGAGUGUCUAUGUCUAUGGUGUGUGGUGUCGUUCUGAGUAUCUCUGUGUGUGGUGUCGUUCUGAGUAUCUCUGUCUGUGGUCCUGUUCUGAGUAUCUCUGUCUGUGGUCUCGUUCUGAGCAUCUCUGUCUGUGGUCUCGUUCUGAGCAUCUCUGUCUGUGGUGUCGUUCUGAUUAUCUAUGUCUGUGGUGUGUGGUGUCAUUCUAAGUAUCUCUGUGUGUGGUUCUGAGUAUCUCUGUGUGUGGUGAAUGGUGUCAUUCUGAGCAUCUUUGUAUGUGUUGUUGUUCUGAGUAUCUCUGUGUGUGGUGUGUGGUUUCUUUUUGAGUAUACAGUUGAAGUCGGAAGUUUACAUACACCUUAGCCAAAUACAUUUAAACUCAGUUUUUCACUAUAUUUUGGGUAGCCUUCCACAAGCUUCCCACAAUAAGUUGGGUGAUUUGUGGCCCAUUCCUCCUGACAGAGAUGGUGUAACUGAGUCAGGUUUGUAGGCCUCCUUGCUCGCACGCACUUUUUCAGUUCUGCCCACAAAUGUUCUGUAGGAUUGUGAUCAGGGCUUUGUGAUGGCCACUCCAAUACCUUGACUUUGUUGUCCUUAAGCCAUUUUGCCACAACUUUGUAGAUUUCACAAAGUAGUUGUCCUAACCAACUUGCCAAAACUAUAGUUUGUUAACAAGACAUUUGUGGAGUGGUUUAAAAACUAGUUUUAAUGACUCCAACCUAAGUGUAUGUUAACUUCCGACUUCAACUGUAUCUGUGUGUGGUGUCGUUCUGAGCCAGAUAAUAACAGAACCGUUAGAUGAGUAAAUUAGCGAUGGCUCUCUCAUUGUGCUUCUUGGUAUUGUUGCCAUAGCUAUCAUCCAAACAGGACCUUUGAG